ACGAACGCUGGCGGCAGGCCUAACACAUGCAAGUCGAGCGCACCUUCGGGUGAGCGGCGGACGGGUUAGUAACGCGUGGGAACGUGCCCUUCUCUACGGAAUAGCCUCUGGAAACGGAGAGUAAUACCGUAUACGCCCUUUGGGGGAAAGAUUUAUCGGAGAAGGAUCGGCCCGCGUUAGAUUAGGUAGUUGGUGGGGUAACGGCCUACCAAGCCUACGAUCUAUAGCUGGUUUUAGAGGAUGAUCAGCAACACUGGGACUGAGACACGGCCCAGACUCCUACGGGAGGCAGCAGUGGGGAAUCUUAGACAAUGGGGGCAACCCUGAUCUAGCCAUGCCGCGUGAGUGAUGAAGGCCUUAGGGUCGUAAAGCUCUUUCGCCUGUGAUGAUAAUGACAGUAGCAGGUAAAGAAACCCCGGCUAACUCCGUG
rnacentral:rRNA from 1 species